UCGGCAGGUAGGAGAGUCCUUACCUGUGCUUCUCUCUAUUCGGAGGGUAGGUAGGACACGAUUGGAGUUCGCAGGAUUGGUGAUUCACGGCUCUGCGUGUUUAGAGCUCGCAACACCCUGCUCGCUCCUGUCUGAU